GGUUUCUGCUAAGUCGCAAGACGAUGUAUAGGAGCUGACGCCUGCCCGGUGCUGGAAGGUUAAGGGGAUCUGUUAGAGCAAUCGAAGCAGUGAACUUAAGCCCCAGUAAACGGCGGCCGUAACUAUAACGGUCCUAAGGUAGCGAAAUUCCUUGUCGGGUAAGUUCCGACCCGCACGAAAGGCGUAACGAUUUGGGCACUGUCUCAACAACAGACUCGGUGAAAUUGUAAUUCCGGUGAAGAUGCCGGAUACCUGCGACAGGACGGAAAGACCCCAUGGAGCUUUACUGUAGCUUGACAUUGGGUCUUGGUACUACAUGUACAGGAUAGGUGGGAGGCUUUGAAACCAGGACGCCAGUUUUGUCGGAGCCAUCCUUGGGAUACCACCCUUGUAGUACUGGGACGCUAACCAUAGGCCAUGAAUCUGGUCUUGGGACACUGUCAGGUGGGCAGUUUGACUGGGGCGGUCGCCUCCCAACAGGUAACGGAGGCGCUCAAAGGUUCUCUCAGUACGGUCGGAAAGCGUACGUAGAGUGUAAAGGCAAAAGAGAGCUUGAUUGCAAGACAUACAGGUCGAGCAAGGAUGAAAAUCGGACUUAGUGAUCCGGUGGUUCUGCGUGGAAGGGCCAUCGCUCAACGGAUAAAAGCUACCCUGGGGAUAACAGGCUUAUCUCCCCCAAGAGUCCACAUCGACGGGGAGGUUUGGCACCUCGAUGUCGGCUCAUCACAUCCUGGGGCUGUAGUAGGUCCCAAGGGUUGGGCUGUUCGCCCAUUAAAGUGGUACGCGAGCUGGGUUCAGAACGUCGUGAGACAGUUCGGUCCCUAUCCGUCGCAGGCGUAGGAAAUUUGAGAAGACCUGUCCUUAGUA
rnacentral:rRNA from 1 species